rnacentral:rRNA from 1 species
GACGAACGCUGGCGGCGUGCUUAACACAUGCAAGUCGAGCGAUGAAAGCCAUAUGAACUCUUCGUAGAGGUUGGGGCCGGACUAGCGGAGGUAGGGUGAGUAAGGGGUGAGCAACCUGCCUUAAACAACGGGAUCGGCUCGGGAAAGCGGGAGUAAUACCGUAAGAGGCCUCGCCUUCACAUGAAGAAGAGGUGAAAGAUUUAUGGGUUUAAGAUGGGCUCGCGUCUGAUUAGCUAGGUGGUGAGAUAAGAGCCCACCAAGGCAACGAUGAGUAACCGGCGUGGGAGAGUGAACGGUCACAUUGGAACGGAGACACGGUCCAGACUCCUACGGGAGGCAGCAGUGGGGAAUAUUGCACAAUGGGGGAAACCCUGAUGCAGCGACGCCGCGUGAGCGAUGAAGGAAUUCGUUACGUAAAGCUCUGUCCAAGGGGAAGAUAAUGACAGUACCCUUGGAGGAAGCCCCGGCUAAAUACGUGCCAGCCGCCGCCGUAAGAC